AUGGCAUUGGUGUUGCCCUUGCAAAACAUGUGGACAGUGCUUUCAUUCCUGGUGCAUGCAAUCGAUACAUACAAGCAUAUUGGGAAACCCUCUUGCUUCUCUAGGUGCCAAGAAUCGGUUGUGUCCUUGCCAUUUGGUUCUCUCCAGCAUUUUUCUCUGAAUACCAUCACCAUCAUAUUGAUAAAUCCGACCAUCGGUUCAAGACAUGUGUUCUCAGACAUUCAUCUGGAGAUACUCAUAUAUCACAUCAGUAGGUGCAGCAUAUGCAAGUUUCAUGAUGAGAUCAGUGCAUUUUUGAAGGGAAUACAAUCUAAUUAG
rnacentral:rRNA from 1 species